CAAAAACAUCGCCUCCCGCAAAAAUCAACGUAUAGGAGGUCUUGCCUGCCCAGUGACUAUAAGUUAAACGGCCGCGGUAUUUUGACCGUGCAAAGGUAGCGCAAUCACUUGUCUUUUAAAUGAAGACCUGUAUGAAUGGUGGAACGAGGGCUUAACUGUCUCCCCCCUCUAGUCAAUGAAAUUGAUCUACCCGUGCAGAAGCGGGUAUAAUAAUACAAGACGAGAAGACCCUUUGGAGCUUAAGACAAAAAACCAACUAUGUCAAAAGUCUUAGAAAUAGACUAAACCAAAUAGCACUGGUCCCAGUCUUCGGUUGGGGUGACCGCGGGAGAAAAUAAAGCUCCCAUGCGGACUGGGGCAACCCCCUAAAACUAAGAGAGACAUCUCUAGGGCACAGAACAUCUGACCAAAAAGAUCCGGCUACAUGCCGACCAACGAACCAAGUUACCCUAGGGAUAACAGCGCAAUCCCCUUCCAGAGUCCAUAUCGACAAGGGGGUUUACGACCUCGAUGUUGGAUCAGGACAUCCUAAUGGUGCAGCCGCUAUUAAGGGUUC
rnacentral:rRNA from 1 species